rnacentral:rRNA from 1 species
CCUGGUUGAUCCUGCCAGUAGCAUAUGCUUAUCUCAAAGAUUAAGCCAUGCACAUGUAAGUAAACAGGGCUGGUACAGUGAAACUGCUAGUAGCUCAUUGAAUCAGUUAUGGUUCCUUUGAUCGCUCCAUCUGUUUCUUGGAUAACUGUGGUAAUUCAAAAGCUAAUACAUGCUAACAAACUCUGACCUCCCGGGAUGCAUGCAUUUAGCAGACCAGGUGCAAUUCGGCCUUGCCAGACACUUUCUAGAUAAGUUUGGGCAGAUCACACGUCCCCUUGAAGGUGACAAUACAUUUGGAUGUCUGCCCUAUCAACUUUUGAUGGUACUUUCUGUGCUUACCAUAGUGACCAUUGGUAACAGAGAAUCAGGCUUCGAUUCUGGAGAUGGAGCCUGAAAAAUGGCUUCCACAUGCAUAGAAGGUAGCAGGCGCACAAAUUACCCACUCCCGACUCAUUUAGGUAGUUAUGAAAAAUAACAAUACGCACUCUUUCAAAGCCCUGUAAUUACAAUCAGUGCACUUUAAAUCCUUCAACGAGGAUCCAUUGAAGGGCAAGUUUGGUGCCUGUAACACAGUAAUUCCAGCUCCAAUAGCAUAUAUUACAGUUGCUUCAGUUAAAAUGCUUGUAGUUGGAUCUUUGGAUGGAGCUGGCAGUCCACUGGGAGGUGAGCUACCGCCUGUCCCAGCCCUUCCUCCCGGCACCCUAUUGAUGCUCUUGACUGAGUGUCCUUGGGGGCCCAAGCUUUUACUUUGACAACACUAAAGUGUUCAAAGCAAGCCUGCCGCUUGAAUAUUUCAGCUAGGAAUGAAGUAAAAGGCCUCUGGGGGAAUUUGUAUUGUGCCACUAGAGGUCAAAUUCUCUAACCAGCGCAAGACAAAUCAAAGCGAAAGCAUUAGCCAAGAAUAUUUUCAUUAUUCAAGAACGUAAGUCAGAGGUUCGCACAUGAUCAGAUACCGUCGUAGGUCCGAGCAUAAACUAGCGAUCCGGCUGCAUUAUUCCCAUGACACGCUAAACAGCUUCCAGGAAACCAAUGUUUUUUUAAUUUUGGGGGGAGUAUGUUUGCAAAACUGAAACUUAAAGGAAUUGACGGAAGGCACCACCAGGAGUGGAGCCGGUGGCUUAAUUUGACUGAACACAGGGAAACCUCACCCAGCCCGGACACAGAAAGGAUUGACAGAUUGAUAGGUCUUCAUGAUUCUGUGGGUGGUGGUGCAUGGCCGUUUCUUAGUUGGUGGAUCGAUUUGUCUCAUUCAUUCAGAUGAUGAACAAGACUCCUCAAUGCUAAUUAGUUACGGGACCCAUAGAGCUUGCCGUUCAACUUCUAAGAGAGACAAGUGUCAUUCAGCCACACUAGGUUGAGCAAUAACAGGUCUGUUUUGGCCAUAUAUGUCCAGGGCUGCAUGUUCCCUGUACUGAACAGACCAGCGUGUGUCUACCCUUCGCCGACUGGUGCUGGUAACCCUCUAAACUUUGUUUGUGAUAGGGAUUGGAGAUUGCAAUUAGUUCCCAUGAACAAGGAAUUCCCAGUAAGUGCGGGUCAUAAGCUUGCAUCGCUUAAGUACCUGCCUUUGUACACACUGCCCAUCACCACUACCGAUUGGGUCUUUCAAUGAGGUGCUUGUAUCGGCACCACCGGAGUCAGAAAUGGCCCUGGUGGAAUGCAGAAAAUAUGAUCAAACUUGAUUAUGUAGAGGAAGUAAAAGUCGUAACAAGGUUUCUGUAGGUAAAUCUGUGGAAG